rnacentral:rRNA from 1 species
UAGGGAAUCUUCCGCAAUGGGCGAAAGCCUGACGGAGCAACGCCGCGUGAGUGAUGAAGGUCUUCGGAUCGUAAAACUCUGUUAUUAGGGAAGAACAAAUGUGUAAGUAACUAUGCACGUCUUGACGGUACCUAAUCAGAAAGCCACGGCUAACUACGUGCCAGCAGCCGCGGUAAUACGUAGGUGGCAAGCGUUAUCCGGAAUUAUUGGGCGUAAAGCGCGCGUAGGCGGUUUUUUAAGUCUGAUGUGAAAGCCCACGGCUCAACCGUGGGGGGUCAUUGGAAACUGGAAAACUUGAGUGCAGAAGAGGAAAAUGGAAUUCCAUGUGUAGCGGUGAAAUGCGCAGAGAUAUGGAGGAACACCAGUGGCGAAGGCGACUUUCUGGUCUGUAACUGACGCAGAUGUGCGAAAGCGUGGGGAUCAAACAGG